rnacentral:lncRNA from 1 species
GCAGCGGCUGUGUGGCCGGGCGGGUUUGCAGUCUCGGGCCCUGGAGUCCAGUUCGCCGGCCUCUUCGCCAGGCUCACCGCCCGCCUCUCCUUCCUCCUCAGAGAGCUCUGGGAACGCACACAUCAGUAGAAGCACCCCUGAACCCACCAGUGCCAGGAGGACUUGUUUUCACGGCGGCUCCCCUGAACUUUCUCACAGAAUUUACUGUGCGCCUAGCCUGGCUUCUCCCUCUUCUCUCGUGUGGUACUAUUUCCUCUUUUUAUUUCAUAUCUGAUACUUUUUACGUCGUCAUUUUUCUGCACAAUUGUUCAGAACAAGCCCGAAAAAUAUCACAGACGGCUAAGUUAGACAGAAGCUACAAAAGGGCCGGGAUGCAGCUCAGCGGCGCAGCGCCUGCCUGGCAAGCGGGAGACCCCGAAUUCGAUACCUAUUACAAAAAACAAACAAGCAAACAAAAACCCCCCAAAAAACUAAGGUUAAGGAUGCUGGCCCUGUGCCCUUGCUGCUGGCCUCACUUACCUUUGGAUCAAUCGCAAGCGACCGUACUUAUAGCUCCACAGUUUGGUUGUAGUCUGACCCACUACCCACCCUGUGAUUUUGCUGACCACUCAGGACCCCUCCUGGAAAUCCAGGUGCUGUUCUUCCCCUUAUUUCCAAUAAAAUUCUCCUAACCUCCUGUGGUUUGUGACUCCAUUUCAGAUGUUGUGAGACCACGAAGUUGACCGGUCUGACACCUAACAGGUUGGAAGUUAUUUUCCCACUAACAGGACAGUUAAGGAAACUCGGACAGGUGAGUUAGGGAAGCAGGAAAAAAAAAACAAAACUUCUUUCCUUUAAAUAAAAUAAUUGUGCACAGCAGUGUGGCAG